rnacentral:rRNA from 1 species
UACGUAGGUGGCAAGCGUUGUCCGGAGUUAUUGGGCGUAAAGCGCGCGCAGGCGGUGCGGUAAGUCUCUGGUGAAAGCGCUCGGCUUAACUGGGCGAGGGCCGGGGAGACUGCCACGCUGGAGGGGAGCAGAGGCGAGUGGAAUUCCGGGUGUAGUGGUGAAAUGCGUAGAUAUUGGGAAGAACACCGGUGGCGAAGGCGGCGACCUGGUCCAUUACUGACGCUGAGGCGCGAAAGCGUGGGGAGCAAGCAGG